CUGCUGCACAAGAGCCAAUUAUUGACGAACGUGUUGAUGAGUUAUGCGAGACAGACUGUUGUCUGCCUCACACAGUACAAGGCUACCAAGGUCAUUUGAACUGUUUACAGGAUGGGUAUCACGUGGAAGUCCUGGAGUCAUCCUUCUCCUUGGAAACUCCUCAUUCUUCUAAGGACACGGUGACAUGAAGAUUGGCAGAGGCUGUAGCCAUCAGCCGAGGACCUGUUCGCUACUGGCAGAGUUGGAAGUCCUGCAGCUUCAAGAGGAGGAGGCCAUAGGCAGGGAGCAGUUCUAGAAGUAAAAGCAGCUUUUGUUUUAAGAAUUACUUUGCAAAGCUGACGAUGCACAGGAGACCCAACUCCUAGAGGAAAGCCAAGCCUUGCUGAAAUCCACGAGCUAUUCCCCAGCACAGAUUGCUCCCUGAAUGCAUGUGGGCAGGAGCUGGAUGAAUAAGGAGAAGUAAGUUAGGGCUUUGCUUGGACCCACAAUUCACCUGACCCCAUG
rnacentral:lncRNA from 1 species